rnacentral:rRNA from 1 species
GAUGAACGCUAGCGGCAGGCUUAACACAUGCAAGUCGAGGGGCAGCGUGAUGAAGUAGCAAUACUGAUUUGACGGCGACCGGCGCACGGGUGCGUAACGCGUAUGUAACCUACCUCUAACAGGGGGAUAACACUGAGAAAUUGGUACUAAUACCCCAUAACACUUAAGGAGGCAUCUUCUUAGGUUGAAAGUUCCGGCGGUUAGAGAUGGACAUGCGUUGUAUUAGCUAGAUGGUGAGGUAACGGCUCACCAUGGCGACGAUACAUAGGGGGACUGAGACGGUUAACCCCCCACACUGGUACUGAGACACGGUCCAG